rnacentral:rRNA from 1 species
GAUGAACGCUGGCGGCGUGCCUAAUACAUGCAAGUCGAGCGAACAGAGGAGGAGCUUGCUCCUCUGACGUUAGCGGCGGACGGGUGAGUAACACGUGGAUAACCUACCUAUAAGACUGGGAUAACUUCGGGAAACCGGAGCUAAUACCGGAUAAUAUAUUGAACCGCAUGGUUCAAUAGUGAAAGACGGUUUUGCUGUCACUUAUAGAUGGAUCCGCGCCGCAUUAGCUAGUUGGUAAGGUAACGGCUUACCAAGGCAACGAUGCGUAGCCGACCUGAGAGGGUGAUAGGCCCCACUGGAAAUGAGAAACGGUCCAGACUCCUACGGGAGGGAGCAGUAGGGAAUCUUCCGCAAUGGGCGAAAGCCUGCCGGAGCAACGCCGCGUGAGUGAUGAAGGUCUUCGGAUCGUAAAACUCUGUUAUUAGGGAAGAACAAAUGUGUAAGUAACUAUGCACGUCUUGACGGUACCUACUCAGAAAGCCACGGCUAACUACGUG